rnacentral:rRNA from 1 species
UACGGGGGGGGCAAGCGUUGUUCGGAAUUACUGGGCGUAAAGAGCGCGCAGGCGGUCGAUUUAGUCGUGUGUGAAAGCCCCCGGCUCAACUGGGGAGGGUCACGCGAUACUGAUCGACUCGAAGGCAGGAGAGGGUAGUGGAAUUCCCGGUGUAGUGGUGAAAUGCGUAGAUAUCGGGAGGAACACCAGUGGCGAAGGCGGCAUCCUGGACCGACACUGACACUGAGGAGCGAAAGCCAGGGGAGCAAACGGG